rnacentral:lncRNA from 1 species
UUCGCGGGUCGACCUAGGGAACCGUGAACUGGUACGGUCGUUCCGGAACGCGGGUCGAAGUCGACCCGGAACACUCGGGAUGGCGUUCCAGUUCGCCAUUUCCGGCGAACUCUGAUCACUUACCGGCGACUAUAAAACGAGGAUGAAAUUAAGAAGAAAGAGGCGAGUAGUGGUGUUUUACCUGACCUGUGAUAUGUAUAUAUGUGGAUAUAUGUAUACAUGACUGUUUGCAGCUGAAGGUGAUGUGUGGUUUGUGGAGAAGAUGAAGCGGGGGAGAAGACAACACAGAUACCAAUGUGAUAACUCAUGAAAGUUAUGGUAGAUCGUGCUGGAUAAUAAUAAUAUAUGUAUAAGUUUUGUGUGUGUCUAUUUAAUGUGUAACCCCUGCAUUCAUUUCUAGACCCACCUAAUGCAUUUGCUGCUUGGACAAGAGCCCACGUUGGAAAGUUUCAGCACUCUCUCCGUUAUUUUUUGACGCUUUGUUUUUUUUUAAUUUUAUAAAUAAAAAUAUGUGCUGAAAAUUUAAUUGAUAAAAAAAUGAUGAAUAAAUAUAAUAAUUUUUACCAUCCAGUCAACCCGUUUAAAGACCAAAAGGGAUAAAAAAUUAUUUUAUUAUGCACCUCGUUUCACAUAAGAAACAAUUCUUAUUAUUUUUUAUUUAUUACUCUAGACUACCCCUUUUAAUAUGAAUUUUGCCAAAAUAAGAUUUUUAUAUUUUUUUAAUAUAAAAAUUACGGGAUCCUUAAUUCGACCCGCGAACCCGAUUCACGGCUCCUCGUACCCGAUUCAUCCAUACUCACGUCCCGCGUACCCGAAUUCAUACCGCGUACCGAAUCGAUCCACGAUCCAUGUAACUAUGGUUCUACGAGCCAUCCGUAGUUACUGGAUUAAAAAGCGAAAACAGAAGCGUUCCGCCCUGGUCAAGAUUUUCCAGGUACUAUCUUUUUGUGACCCAUAAUUAAUAGGUGUUAUUAAUUCAUCAGGUUUUACAGUAUUUGACAUAUGCACUAAUUAUUCAUGAUUAUGAUUUAUCAUUUCUGAUAGUUGUAUCAAUCAAGAACUCGAGUUUUAAGAAAGGCGGAUCAUGGCAAGAAAAGAUCAUUGACUCGAAAAGCUAGAGAAGAUGUAAUUAGGGAGAAGCGAGCAACUGUCCUUCAAGGUAUAUACUGUUGCAUCAAGAAUGUCAUCCUUAUCUUGUUUAAUACACCAUUUCACUAGUCAUUCUAGUUCAAGAGUACCUAAGGUUGGAAGUGUACAUUCCUCUAAGUAGCCACUUAAGUUUCUAAAUAAAUUCCUGGCUUGAACUACAGGCAUUGCAGCUGAACAUAAGAAAAACGAAAAAAAGGUUUCCCUAGAGGCUGAUGCUGCACUUACUAAAUUAGAUGAUUUAGACCUUGGAAAGGGUAAAAGAGCCCAACUGCUGAUGGAGGUUGCAGAUAAGUGUACUUACAAAGCCACUAUGGCUCUUAGAGUUUUUGAAGCAAUUGGACAGGGAAAAUCACUCGUAGAUAUUGCCAAAAAUCUUAUCGACUGACCUAGCUAACUGCAGUUUAGUUGCUUUAUUUCUGCCCAGGACAAACAGUUUCUCUCCCAUUUAUUUUGGGAAGAUUGAAGCCUCUUUUUUGAAAUCUUGCAUAUCCCUUGUUGCAAUACAUGCAAGAAUUUGUAAUAUUCUCAAUAAUUUUUUAAUCUACCACAUCUCUUGAUUAUAAUUUAUUAUUUAUUUCACUGUAGAUAUAGGUAAAUAAAAUUUUUUAACAGGAACAAAAACAUUUAAAUGAAUAAUUUUAACAUUCUCUCUUUAAAUGGACUAUAUGAUUUGUUUACUUAUAUUUAGUGAUAUAUAGUUAUUAUUUCUUACUAGUUUAUUUUUGUAGUUGACACUUAAGUGACUGUUUUAUAAAAUGACAUUAUACAUGUGGUUCAUACCAAUAUUAACAAUUAAGUAAUUAAUAUUAUACAUUCUCAAAAAAAAAAGUAAUUAAUAUUAUAAUGAUAUCACGUCUUAAUUUGAUUGGUUUUAAAUGAAACUUCUAACCAUUUUUAAAUUUUCGAUUUAUUAUGUCAAAUUACAUAUAUUAUAUUCAACGAUUUUUUUAAAAAAUUUGUAGAAAAUUUAUUUGCAGGCACCAUAGAAAUUUAAAAAGUUAAUGAGACAAAAAUUGGAAAGAGAGUAUUCUCGAUUAUGCACAUAGAACACUAUAUUAAAAUUUUAGUUAUUGAAUAAUUUAGAAAAAUACUUUAUUGAAAUCAAUUUUUUAAUUAAAUUUUCUAAAUUUAAUUUUAAUAUUUGAUAAGCAUAAAAUUUCAUUGGUUAUACUGUAUGAGUCAACAUUUAACUUUAUGCUCAAGAUAUGUAUUUAAAGUUCAUUCUUAAGUAAAAUAGUAUCAAAAAUAUAAUAUAAAUACUCAGAUACACUAUAUAUAUCCUAAUAAAACUACUUAUCAUCACCCUAUUAAAAUAUAUAUGAACUCAAUUGAGAUGUUAAUAUAUUCAAAAAUAUCUGUAAAAGAAUAAUCUCGGACCAACAAUUUUUCUUAAAUUAUCGAGGAUUAGUAUACACUAUGUUUUGUUGGAUUCACACAACUAAUUUUAAAUGAUAAAUAUAAUAAUUUAUCAUAUUAUUAAUUAUUAAUUUUUAAUAUUUCGAUGUUUUACAAAAUAUCUGAUAAUAAAUAAAUGAUAUCAACAAUUUUUAUUUGGAAAUUAUUCUUUUAAUAUAUUAAAGGAUAUAUCCAUCAAACCAUAGAAAAUAAGGAAACACCCAAUAUUAUUUAAAAAUAAAAAAAUAAAAUAAAAUAUAUUUAAUCUUUACUAGUCAUGUAUAUUAAUUUAUGAUUCGUGAGAUUAUUGAGAAUAUCUCACGAUACUAAUAAUCUUAAGACAUAUAGAAUAAUCCGGAACAUACUAGAACUUUAAUUUCAAUUCAAAAUUAUGAGAACAUUCCGGAACUUGCAAGAACUUUGUUUGUAUAUUAAUCCAACGGCUGAGAUGAGAAUAUGAAAAUUAUAUAUGCAAGCUUUCUUCUUCAAAUUGUUCGUUGUCCCAACCACAAAUAAUUGAAUACCAUAAUAAACCCAAUUCUCAUCUGAGAACCCAUCCACAAACUCUCAUUAGCAAUAUCAUAUACGAUUUUCAAUGAUUCAAACUUUUUCUAUUUGUAAAUUUUACUUUCACCAAAUCCUAGCACUAAUUCUUAUCAUUUAGGUGUGGAUCAGGUAUGCAUUUGUGAAUUUAUUUAUGUUUUAUCGUUCAAUUAAAGAUUAAAAAUUAUAGUAACAAUCAAGCCCACAAGUAUAUGUUAUAGUUUUCAUUUUAAUUUUUUAAUUAUUUUUUGGUUGUAAGAACUUGUUGGUAAAAUUAUAAACUAGAUUUUAUAUUUUCUUAUGUUUAACUAAUGUGAUCUUUUUGCAAGGCAGGUGUUUGUUCCCUCACUCCUUAAACAAUGAAGAUUAUGCUCCAAGUAUGGUGAUGCCCUUAUUUUUAAUCCUUUUAUAAAUUUUAUCGGUCUUCUUAGUAUCAUGACUUGUCUGCAGUGUUUAUGUUUACUUUUAACUUGUGCAUAAGUUAAAUUCUUUCAUUUUUUAUUAUUGGGAUGGUAGGUUAUGGCCUUUGAAGUUUAUAAGUGCAAUUCAAUGGAGUUUGAUGAGCCAAUUAAAUUCUGAAAACACCCAUCAACCUCAACUAUAAAUGAGGCCUCCCUACAUCUCUUAAGGGAUAUAGGAGGGCAUUCUCUCAUAUUUGGGAAGAGCAGUGGACUCCGAAAGAAAGGUUCAUACAAGCUGGCGAAAAUAAUUGCAAGCUUCUUUGUCUAAUAUGUGAUCAAUAAUUUCAACCUUAGUAGAAAUUUUUAUAAAGACACGUUGUAAGAGUUUCAAACAUUAUAAAUAUGUAUUUUACUUGAUGUAAGAGUUUCAAGUUUAUAUACGCAUUUUACCCACAUAAUUCUACUCGUGAUGAGAGAAAACUUACAUAUAUUUAUGUUCAUGGCUUCUAUGCUGUCAAAGUGAAUGGAGAGGGCAUUUUUCAAGAAAAAUCAAAACAGGUUAACAAGUAAAACUCUAAAUACAAUAUAUAGAGGAAAAUAUAAGGUCAAUGAAUUCAAGGUAAAAUGAAUGAGGAUUAUUACAUUUGUAUGUCUCUCCUAUACUUAAAUUAUAGUGCAAAAAUAUUUGUAAAUAUAAUUAUAAUAAAUUUAUAUUGUCUAUUUUAAUUUAUUCCCAAAAUCACACUUUAUCCUUCUAAUUAUAAUUCAUCAUUAUUAGAAUGUCAAUAAUAUUUUUAGAAUCACAUAAAGAAUUAUGAAAAAUUCAAGUAAAAUUCUUACAAAUUAUAAAACGUAGACAGAAGCCGAUUUUCUUUUUAUCUUUCAUUCAAAGUUCAAGCUUUAAAAUCAAAUUAGAUUUGUAGUAAAUAUUAAAAAUAUAUCUAAAAGAGGGUGCAUCCAAAUGACUCCUUCAAAUGUAUCCAAUUCAUAUUUUGGAUGUCUUUUUCACAUUACUUGUACCAACUAUAUUGUUUAUCUAAUCAAAACAAGUUAUUUUUGACCAGAUGGCUAAAAUCCACCUUAUGACUGACGGCCGAUUUCAACUAAAUUUGACCAAAUGCAGUCAAAUUUAACUAAAUUUGAUCGGAAAUGGCGGUAAAAUUUACCAGUUUAAUUUUUUUUAUUUUAAAUAAUAUAAAACAUCAAAUGAUAAUAUUUUAAUUAACAUAUCCAUUUUUAAAUUUAUAAUGAACAUAACUUUGGAGACUUUGGCCUAAAUGAGCCAAGAACCGCCUAACAAAGUAACAUGCUCAUCAACAAUUUCAACAGUCUAUUGAUGAAUGGAGCAUAGUGAAGAAGGUGCUUUAAAGUAUCAACACAAGAAUUGGUCUCCAUCCGAAAUAGACAAUUUAUCAAAGAAAAAGGUGCACCAAAUAAAUUUAAGGAAGAUAACAAGAAAUCAAUAUACCUUCCAUGCUCUAUCUGAAAAAGAGCAAAUCAUCUUAAAAAGGAUUGCUUGCACAAAAGAAAGCAUUAGUGCAAAGUUUGUAAAAAAGUUUGGACCUAGUGAACAAAUUUGCAGAUUUAGAAAAAGCCACGAGGAGUGAUUGAAGAAAAUGAUUAACAUUUUUAUGCCUAUCAUGCAACUAGAACAAAAUAGAAAAAUGGUUGGUGCACAUAAUUGUAUACAAAAUUGUGUACAUAAUGACAUGUGCCGGGCUUUAAUUGGAAUGUACACAAUUAUGUGCACCUAGCACUACUCAACAAAAUAUGAUGAUACAUGGCUCAUUAAUAAUAGAUGAACAACACACACGACAAAAAUUUAAAGUCUAUUUUAUAAUGUGGAUUCUACAAUAAAUAUAUCAAUCAAUUAAUAUACCAACUUCGAAUAUAAAGAAAGAGUAUCAUUGUUAUUUAAUUUAAGAAAGGUACGUGUUAUGGAUAAAAACAAAGGACAAGCUUAGUGCUUUAAUGACUGCUUAAUGUGAAGGGUCAAAGGAGAUGAAAAAGAACAGAAGACCUCAUGUUCUAGUUCAGGAGUACGAAUAUUUGAAAUUGCAAAACCAAAACAGAUAUUAACUGAUAUUUGUGAAAAGUCUUGGAACCUAGUGAGUUAGUGCACUUCAACAAAAUUAAUGGUGUUUGAAAACUACAAUCAUAACUCAUAUUCAAGUGUCUCUUGAUGAAGUAUAUACCAUAAUGAUGACUAAUGAUUUGGAGAUGAAAAAAAAAGAGAAAAAGGGUUAGAUAAGAUUUUGUAUGUUUCUUUGAAUGCCAAACAAAGUAAGCAAUUAGAAAAUAUAACUAUAAUUAUAUGCAAGGGAAAGUUGUUCAAACUCUCACUCAUGUUUUAUAAUUUAGUGAGCCCUUAGCUAGAGAGUAGGAGUAGAGGUGGAUCAUAUUAUCAUAACUAAUAUAAAGUAUUAUAUUGAAUUUAUAUUUAGGAUAUAAUUAUGAGCUAGAUAAUUAUAAUUAUGUUUAAUUUUUUUUAAACUUUUUAAAUUUGUAUAAAAUGAUUAUAUAUUUAGAAACAUAUGUGUUAUCAUUUUAACUAAAAUAUAUAUACAAUGAUAUUUAAUUUAAAAUUAAUAUAUAUGGGCUCUCAAAGUAGAUCUUUUACUUUUAAGCAACUGAUCAUAAUAAAAUUGGUUUUUAAUUUAUCCAUGAUUAGGCCUAGCCCAAUCCUAAAAACCCUACAAAUUUUACUAUAUAUACGUCUUAUCCUAAUUAUUCAAUUUGCCCCCUACUUCAUCAUUUCAAUUUUUGCCGCCUAUCUCAUCAUUUUAAUAUCUGCCUCCUACCUCAUCAUUUUAAAACCCCCAAAAGAUACUCACACAUUGUGAGAAAAGCAUCUGACAAUUAACGAGUGUUAAUUCUAGUGGCACCUUUAGACUGAGAGCUACUUCAUCGUUCAUUGUGAGAAAGACAGUUGUCAGUCUUCAGUACAGUGAUGUCUCUCAUUGGACUUCCUAAUUUGUUUGGGGUGAAAUCUCACCUGGAAAAUCCUAUGGUGAGUGCCAUUCCUGUCCCUGCUGCAGUUAAAGUAUCUAGCCAUGCUGACAUCGAUUAUGUCCCGUUCAGGAGACCAGAGUCUUACAUCACGUGCAAAGAUGAUGAGCUGACUAGAGUGUUGGGGAGGGAAAGUUCAGUUUAUGAAAUGGAUUGUGAGGAUGAGGAAUGGUUAAACAAAUUUUAAGACAGAAAAAGGAUGUGAGGAGCCCAUUUCUGCUGAUUUUUUUGAGAUGAUUAUUAGUUCAUUCGAGAAGAGAUUAUUCUGUGAUCAAGGUAAUCGUGCGGAUGUAAAGGCUGCCGUUGACCAUUGCAUAUCUCUGGGAAGAAGAGAUGUUCUACGAACCAUCUAUAGUUACUGGAUUAAGAAACGAAAACAGAAGCGUUCGGCCCUGGUCAAGGUUUUCCUGCAGGUACUAUAUCUUUUUGUGACCCAUAAAUAUGUGUUAUUCAUCAGGUUUUACAGUAUUUGACAUGCACUAAUUAUUCAUGAUUAUGAUUGAUCAUUUCUGAUAGUUGUAUCAAUCAAGAACUCGAGUUUUAAGAAAGGCGGAUCAUGGCAAGAAAAGAUCAUUGACUCGAGAAGCUAGAGAAAAUGUAAUUAGGGAGAAGCGAGCAACUGUCCUUCAAGGUAUAUACUGUUGCACCAAGAAUGUCAUCCUUAUCUUGUUUAAUACAUCAUUUCAGUCAUUCUUAUUCAAGAGUACCAGGAAGAUGAAUAUGUACUAUUAUAUAAGUAUACAUUCCUCUAAGUAGCCACUUAAGUUUUUAAAUAAAUUCCUGGCUUGAACUACAUGCAUUGCAGCUGAAGAGAAGAAAAAAGAAUUGAAGGUUGCCUUAGAGGCUGGUGCUGCACUUACUAGAUUAGAGGAUGUAGCCCUUGGAAAGCGUAAAAGAGCCCAAAUGCUGAUGGAGGUUGCAGAUAAGUGUACUUACAAAGCCACUAUGGCUCUUAGAAUUUCUAAAGCAAUUGCACAAGGAAAAUCACUUGUAGAUGUUGCCAAUCAAACUAGAUUUGUAGUAAAUACUUAAAAUAUAUCUUAAAGAAGGUGUAUCCAAAUGAAUCCUUCAAAUGUAUCCAAUUCUUAUUUCUGGAUGUCUUUUUCUCACAUUACUUGUACCAACUAUAUUGUUUAUCUAAUCAAAACAAGUUAUUAUUUGACCGAAGAUGGCUAAAGUCCACUAAGCUAUGAUUGAUCGCCGAUUCCGGUCAAAAUUAACUAUAUUUGACCGAACGUGGACUACAAAAUGUAGGGCAAAACCGACCGCCUAAAACCAACUGGCGCGAAAAAAGUGUCGGGUUAAAACAGAUCGGCCGAAGUCCGUCGGUUUUGAUAAUAACUACGUCGUUUUGCUUUGCUGGCUAGACUCCGACUUAUUUUAACCGACCACUUUCAUCGCGAUCGGUUUUAUAGCUGACGUGUCCGGGUCAUAACUGACCAGGUCAUCGGUCGGUUAUGUUUUUGUGUAAAUUUAAUCAAUUUUUUAAAAAAUUAUUAGACAAGACGACAGCGUUUUUGUGCGUAAAUUUGACCGGAAAUUGCGGUCAAAUUUACCCAUUUUUCUAGUAGUGUCAAUUUAAUUGUUUUUUAUUUUAAAUAAUAUGAAACAUCAAAUAAUAAUAUUUUAAUUAACAUAUCCACUUUUAAAUUUAUAAUGAACAUAACUUUAGAGACUUUGGCCUAAAUGAGCUAAGAACCCCCUAACAAAGUAACAUGCUCAACAAUGUCAACAGUCUAUCAAUGAAUGGAGCAUAGUGAAGAAGGUGCUUUAAAGUAUCAACACAAGAAUUGGUCCCCAUCCGAAAUAGACAAUUUAUCAAAGAAAAAGGUGCAUCGGAUGAUUUUAAGGAAGAUAACAAGAAAUCAAUAUACCUUCCAUACUCUAUCUGAAAAAGAGCAAAUAAUUAGUGCAAAGUUUGUAAAAAAGUUUGGACCUAGUGAACAAAUUUGUGGAUUUAUUGAAGAAAAUGAUUAACAUUUUUAUGUCUAUCAUGCUGCUAGAACAAAAUAUGAUGAUACAUGGCUCAAUAAUAAUGGGUGAACAACACACAUGACUAAAACUUAAAGUCUAUUAUAAUGUGGAUUUUACAAUAAAUUUAUCAAUCAAUUAAUAUACCAACGCAUAGUGAUGACAGAACCUUGUCGAAUAUAAAGAAAGAUUAUCAUUGAUAUUUCACAACUUUCCCUUACAUAUAAUUAUAAUUAUAUGUAAAGGAAAGUUGUUAAAACUCUCAAGGAGGGCCUGUUUUAUAAUUUAGUGAGCCCUUAAAGAGUAGGAGUAGACGUGGAUCAUAUGACAUAAAAAAUUUAAAAGCUAAAUAAAUAUUAUCAUAAUUAACUAAUAUAAAGUAUUAUGUAGUAUUGAAUUUAUAUUUAGGAUAUAAUUAUGAGCUAGCUAAUUAUAAUCAUGUUUAAUUUUAUUUAAAACUUUUUAAAUUUGUAUAAAAUGAUCAUAUAUUUAGACACAUAUGUGUUAUCAUUUUAACUAAAAUAUAUAUACUAUGAUAUUUAAUUUAAAAUUAAUAUAUUUGGGCUCCCAAAUUAGAUCUUUUACGGUUAAGCAACUGAUCAUAAUAAAAUUGGUUUUUUAAUAUAUCCAUGAUUAGGCCCAGCCCAAUUCUAAAAACCCUACAAAUUUUACUAUAUAUACUACUUAUCCUAAUUAUUCAAUUUGCCCCCUACCUCAUCAUUUCAGUUUUUGCCGCCUAUCUCAUCUUUUUAAUAUCUGCCGCCUACCUCAUCAUAUUAAAACCCCCAAAAGAUACUCACACAUUGUGAGAAAAUCAGCUAACAAUUAACGAGUGUUAAUUCUAGUGGUACCAUUAGACUGAGAGGUACUUCAUAGUUCAUUGUGAGAAAGGCAGUUGUCAGUCUUCAUCAGUAUACAGUGAUGUCUCUCAUUGGACUAUGGUGAGUGCCAUUCCAGUCCCGGCUGCAGUUAAAGUAUCUAGCCAUGCUGACAUCGAUUAUGCCCCGUUCAGGAGACCAGAGUCUUACAUCAUGUGGAAAGAUGAUGAACUGACUAGAGUGCUGGGGAGGGAAAGUGCAAUUUAUGAAAUGGAUUGUGAGGAUGAGGAAUGGUUGAAGAAAUUUAAUACAGAAAAAGGAAGUGAUGAGCCCAUCUCUGCUGAUUUUUUUGAGAUGAUUAUUAGUUCAUUCGAGAAGAGAUUAUUCUGUGAUCAAGGUAAUCGUCUGGAUUUUAAGGCUGCUGUUGACCAUUGUAUAUCUCUCGGAAGAAGAGAUGUUCUACGAGCCAUCCAUAGUUACUGGAUUAAAAAGCGAAAACAGAAGCGUUCCGCCCUGGUCAAGGUUUUCCAGGUAAUAUCUUUUUGUGACCUAUAAAUAUGUUUUUUUUGACAUGGUUAUUCAUGAUUAUUAAUUUUAUGAUUCUUCAUGAUGGAUCAUUUCUGAUAGGUCUAUCAAUCAAGAACUCGAGUUUUAAGAAAGGCAAAUCAUGGCAAGAAAAGAUCAUUGACUCGAAAAGAUAGAGAAAAUGAAAUUAGGGACAUGCGAGCAACUCUCCUUCAAGGUAUAUACUGUUGCCCCAGGAAUGUCAUCCUUAUCUUGUUUAAUAAAUCAUUUCAGUCAUUCUUAUUCAAGAGUACCAGGAAGAUGAAUAUGUACUAUUAUAUAAGUAUACAUUCCUCUAAGCAGUCCCUUUAUAAGUUUUUAAAUGAAUUUCUGGUUUGAACAACAGGCAUUGCAGCUGAACAGAAGAAAAACGAAAAAAAGGUUGCCCUAGAGGCUGAUGCUGCACUUACUAAAUUAGAUGAUUUAGUCCUUGGAAAGCGUAAAAAAGCCCAACUGCUGAUGGAGGUUGCAGAUAAGUGUACUUACAAAGCAACUAUGGCUCUUAGAAUUUCUGAAGCAAUUGGGCAAGGAAAACCACUGGUAGAUGUUGCCAAAAAUCUUCUCGGCUGACCUAGCUAACUGCAGUUUAGUUGCUUUAUUUCUGCCCAGGACAAACAGUUUCUCUCCCAUUUAUUUUGGGAAGAUUGAAGCCUCUUUUUUGAAGUCUUCCAUAUCUCUUGUUGCAAUAUAUGCAAGAAUUUGUAAUAUAUACAAUAAUUUUUUAAUCUACCACAUCUCUUGAUUAUAAUUUAUUAUUUAUUUCACUGUAGAUAUAGGUAAAUAAAAUUUUUUAACAGGAACAAAAACAUUUAAAUGAAUAAUUUUAACAUUCUCUCUUUAAAUGGACUAUAUGAUUUGUUUACUUAUAUUUAGUGAUAUAUAGUUAUUAUUUCUUACUAGUUUAUUUUUGUAGUUGACACUUAAGUGACUGUUUUAUAAAAUGACAUUAUACAUGGUUCAUACCAAUAUUAACAAUUAAGUAAUUAAUAUUAUAAUGAUAUCACGUCUUAAUUUGAUUGGUUUUAAAUGAAACUUCUAACCAUUUUUAAAUUUUCGAUUUAUUAUGUCAAAUUACAUAUAUUAUAUUCAACGAUUUUUUUAAAAAAUUUGUAGAAAAUUUAUUUUCAGGCACCAUAGAAAUUUAAAAAGUUAAUGAGACAAAAAUUGGAAAGAGAGUAUUCUCGAUUAUGCACAUAGAACACUAUAUUAAAAUUUUAGUUAUUGAAUAAUUUAGAAAAAUACUUUAUUGAAAUCAAUUUUUUAAUUAAAUUUUCUAAAUUUAAUUUUAAUAUUUGAUAAGCAUAAAAUUUCAUUGGUUAUACUGUAUGAGUCAACAUUUAACUUUAUGCUCAAGAUACGUAUUUAAAGUUCAUUCUUAAGUAAAAUAGUAUCAAAAAUAUAAUAUAAAUACUCAAAUACACUAUAUAUAUCCUAAUAAAACUACUUAUCAUCACCCUAUUAAAAUAUAUAUGAACUCAAUUGAGAUGUUAAUAUAUUCAAAAAUAUCUGUAAAAGAAUAAUCUCGGACCAACAAUUUUUCUUAAAUUAUCGAGGAUUAGUAUACACUAUGUUUUGUUGGAUUCACACAACUAAUUUUAAAUGAUAAAUAUAAUAAUUUAUCAAAUUAUUAAUUUUUAAUAUUUCGAUGUUUUACAAAAUAUCUGAUAAUAAAUAAAUGAUAUCAACAAUUUUUAUUUGGAAAUUAUUCUUUUAAUAUAUUAAAGGAUAUAUCCAUCAAACCAUAGAAAAUAAGGAAACACCCAAUAUUAUUUAAAAAUAAAAAAAUAAAAUAAAAUAUAUUUAAUCUUUACUAGUCAUGUAUAUUAAUUUAUGAUUCGUGAGAUUAUUGAGAAUAUCUCACGAUACUAAUAAUCUUAAGACAUAUAGAAUAAUCCGGAACAUACUAGAACUUUAAUUUCAAUUCAAAAUUAUGAGAACAUUCCGGAACUUGCAAGAACUUUGUUUGUAUAUUAAUCCAACGGCUGAGAUGAGAAUAUGAAAAUUAUAUAUGCAAGCUUUCUUCUUCAAAUUGUUCGUUGUCCCAACCACAAAUAAUUGAAUACCAUAAUAAACCCAAUUCUCAUCUGAGAACCCAUCCACAAACUCUCAUUAGCAAUAUCAUAUACGAUUUUCAAUGAUUCAAACUUUUUCUAUUUGUAAAUUUUACUUUCACCAAAUCCUAGCACUAAUUCUUAUCAUUUAGGUGUGGAUCAGGUAUGCAUUUGUGAAUUUAUUUAUGUUUUAUCUUUCAAUUAAAGAUUAAAAAUUAUAGUAACAAUCAAGCCCACAAGUAUAUGUUAUAGUUUUCAUUUUAAUUUUUUAAUUAUUUUUUGGUUGUAAGAACUUGUUGGUAAAAUUAUAAACUAGAUUUUAUAUUUUCUUAUGUUUAACUAAUGUGAUCUUUUUGUAAGGCAGGUGUUUGUUCCCUCACUCCUUAAACAAUGAAGAUUAUGCUCCAAGUAUGGUGAUGCCCUUAUUUUUAAUCCUUUUAUAAAUUUUAUCGGUCUUCUUAGUAUCAUGACUUGUCUGCAGUGUUUAUGUUUACUUUUAACUUGUGCAUAAGUUAAAUUCUUUCAUUUUUUAUUAUUGGGAUGGUAGGUUAUGGCCUUUGAAGUUUAUAAGUGCAAUUCAAUGGAGUUUGAUGAGCCAAUUAAAUUCUGAAAACACCCAUCAACCUCAACUAUAAAUGAGGCCUCCCUACAUCUCUUAAGGGAUAUAGGAGGGAAUUCUCUCAUAUUUGGGAAGAGCAGUGGACUCCGAAAGAAAGGUUCAUACAAGCUGACGAAAAUAAUUGCAAGCUUCUUUGUCUAAUAUGUGAUCAAUAAUUUCAACCUUAGUAGAAAUUUUUAUAAAGACACGUUGUAAGAGUUUCAAACAUUAUAAAUAUGUAUUUUACUUGAUGUAAGAGUUUCAAGUUUAUAUACGCAUUUUACCCACAUAAUUCUACUCGUGAUGAGAGAAAACUUACAUAUAUUUAUGUUCAUGGCUUCUAUGCUGUCAAAGUGAAUGGAGAGGGCAUUUUUCAAGAAAAAUCAAAACAGGUUAACAAGUAAAACUCUAAAUAAAAUAUAUAGAGGAAAAUAUAAGGUCAAUGAAUUCAAGGUAAAAUGAAUGAGGAUUAUUACAUUUGUAUGUCUCUCCUAUACUUAAAUUAUAGUGCAAAAAUAUUUGUAAAUAUAAUUAUAAUAAAUUUAUAUUGUCUAUUUUAAUUUAUUCCCAAAAUCACACUUUAUCCUUCUAAUUAUAAUUCAUCAUUAUUAGAAUGUCAAUAAUAUUUUUAGAAUCACAUAAAGAAUUAUGAAAAAUUCAAGUAAAAUUCUUACAAAUUAUAAAACGUAGACAGAAGCCGAUUUUCUUUUUAUCUUUCAUUCAAAGUUCAAGCUUUAAAAUCAAAUUAGAUUUGUAGUAAAUAUUAAAAAUAUAUCUAAAAGAGGGUGCAUCCAAAUGACUCCUUCAAAUGUAUCCAAUUCAUAUUUUGGAUGUCUUUUUAACAUUACUUGUACCAACUAUAUUGUUUAUCUAAUCAAAACAAGUUAUUUUUGACCAGAUGGCUAAAAUCCACCUUAUGACUGACGGCCGAUUUCAACUAAAUUUGACCAAAUGCAGUCAAAUUUAACUAAAUUUGAUCGGAAAUGGCGGUAAAAUUUACCAGUUUAAUUUUUUUUAUUUUAAAUAAUAUAAAACAUCAAAUGAUAAUAUUUUAAUUAACAUAUCCAUUUUUAAAUUUAUAAUGAACAUAACUUUGGAGACUUUGGCCUAAAUGAGCCAAGAACCGCCUAACAAAGUAACAUGCUCAUCAACAAUUUCAACAGUCUAUUGAUGAAUGGAGCAUAGUGAAGAAGGUGCUUUAAAGUAUCAACACAAGAAUUGGUCUCCAUCCGAAAUAGACAAUUUAUCAAAGAAAAAGGUGCACCAAAUAAAUUUAAGGAAGAUAACAAGAAAUCAAUAUACCUUCCAUGCUCUAUCUGAAAAAGAGCAAAUCAUCUUAAAAAGGAUGUACCUUCCAUGCUCUAUCUGAAAAAGAGCAAAUCAUCUUAAAAAGGAUUGCUUGCACAAAAGAAAGCAUUAGUGCAAAGUUUGUAAAAAAGUUUGGACCUAGUGAACAAAUUUGCAGAUUUAGAAAAAGCCACGAGGAGUGAUUGAAGAAAAUGAUUAACAUUUUUAUGCCUAUCAUGCAACUAGAACAAAAUAGAAAAAUGGUUGGUGCACAUAAUUGUAUACAAAAUUGGGUACAUAAUGACAUGUGCCGGGCUUUAAUUGGAAUGUACACAAUUAUGUGCACCUAGCACUACUCAACAAAAUAUGAUGAUACAUGGCUCAUUAAUAAUAGAUGAACAACACACACGACAAAAAUUUAAAGUCUAUUUUAUAAUGUGGAUUCUACAAUAAAUAUAUCAAUCAAUUAAUAUACCAACUUCGAAUAUAAAGAAAGAGUAUCAUUGUUAUUUAAUUUAAGAAAGGUACGUGUUAUGGAUAAAAACAAAGGACAAGCUUAGUGCUUUAAUGACUGCUUAAUGUGAAGGGUCAAAGGAGAUGAAAAAGAACAGAAGACCUCAUGUUCUAGUUCAGGAGUACGAAUAUUUGAAAUUGCAAAACCAAAACAGAUAUUAACUGAUAUUUGUGAAAAGUCUUGGAACCUAGUGAGUUAGUGCACUUCAACAAAAUUAAUGGUGUUUGAAAACUACAAUCAUAACUCAUAUUCAAGUGUCUCUUGAUGAAGUAUAUACCAUAAUGAUGACUAAUGAUUUGGAGAUGAAAAAAAAAGAGAAAAAGGGUUAGAUAAGAUUUUGUAUGUUUCUUUGAAUGCCAAACAAAGUAAGCAAUUAGAAAAUAUAACUAUAAUUAUAUGCAAGGGAAAGUUGUUCAAACUCUCACUCAUGUUUUAUAAUUUAGUGAGCCCUUAGCUAGAGAGUAGGAGUAGAGGUGGAUCAUAUUAUCAUAACUAAUAUAAAGUAUUAUAUUGAAUUUAUAUUUAGGAUAUAAUUAUGAGCUAGAUAAUUAUAAUUAUGUUUAAUUUUUUUUAAACUUUUUAAAUUUGUAUAAAAUGAUUAUAUAUUUAGAAACAUAUGUGUUAUCAUUUUAACUAAAAUAUAUAUACAAUGAUAUUUAAUUUAAAAUUAAUAUAUAUGGGCUCUCAAAGUAGAUCUUUUACUUUUAAGCAACUGAUCAUAAUAAAAUUGGUUUUUAAUUUAUCCAUGAUUAGGCCUAGCCCAAUCCUAAAAACCCUACAAAUUUUACUAUAUAUACGUCUUAUCCUAAUUAUUCAAUUUGCCCCCUACUUCAUCAUUUCAAUUUUUGCCGCCUAUCUCAUCAUUUUAAUAUCUGCCUCCUACCUCAUCAUUUUAAAACCCCCAAAAGAUACUCACACAUUGUGAGAAAAGCAUCUGACAAUUAACGAGUGUUAAUUCUAGUGGCACCUUUAGACUGAGAGCUACUUCAUCGUUCAUUGUGAGAAAGACAGUUGUCAGUCUUCAGUACAGUGAUGUCUCUCAUUGGACUUCCUAAUUUGUUUGGGGUGAAAUCUCACCUGGAAAAUCCUAUGGUGAGUGCCAUUCCUGUCCCUGCUGCAGUUAAAGUAUCUAGCCAUGCUGACAUCGAUUAUGUCCCGUUCAGGAGACCAGAGUCUUACAUCACGUGCAAAGAUGAUGAGCUGACUAGAGUGUUGGGGAGGGAAAGUUCAGUUUAUGAAAUGGAUUGUGAGGAUGAGGAAUGGUUAAACAAAUUUUAAGACAGAAAAAGGAUGUGAGGAGCCCAUUUCUGCUGAUAUUUUUGAGAUGAUUAUUAGUUCAUUCGAGAAGAGAUUAUUCUGUGAUCAAGGUAAUCGUGUGGAUGUAAAGGCUGCCGUUGACCAUUGCAUAUCUCUGGGAAGAAGAGAUGUUCUACGAACCAUCUAUAGUUACUGGAUUAAGAAACGAAAACAGAAGCGUUCGGCCCUGGUCAAGGUUUUCCUGCAGGUACUAUAUCUUUUUGUGACCCAUAAAUAUGUGUUAUUCAUCAGGUUUUACAGUAUUUGACAUGCACUAAUUAUUCAUGAUUAUGAUUGAUCAUUUCUGAUAGUUGUAUCAAUCAAGAACUCGAGUUUUAAGAAAGGCGGAUCAUGGCAAGAAAAGAUCAUUGACUCGAGAAGCUAGAGAAAAUGUAAUUAGGGAGAAGCGAGCAACUGUCCUUCAAGGUAUAUACUGUUGCACCAAGAAUGUCAUCCUUAUCUUGUUUAAUACAUCAUUUCAGUCAUUCUUAUUCAAGAGUACCAGGAAGAUGAAUAUGUACUAUUAUAUAAGUAUACAUUCCUCUAAGUAGCCACUUAAGUUUUUAAAUAAAUUCCUGGCUUGAACUACAUGCAUUGCAGCUGAAGAGAAGAAAAAAGAAUUGAAGGUUGCCUUAGAGGCUGGUGCUGCACUUACUAGAUUAGAGGAUGUAGCCCUUGGAAAGCGUAAAAGAGUCCAAAUGCUGAUGGAGGUUGCAGAUAAGUGUACUUACAAAGCCACUAUGGCUCUUAGAAUUUCUAAAGCAAUUGCACAAGGAAAAUCAAUUGUAGAUGUUGCCAAUCAAAUUAGAUUAGUAGUAAAUACUUAAAAUAUAUCUUAAAGAAGGUGUAUCCAAAUGAAUCCUUCAAAUGUAUCCAAUUCUUAUUUAUGGAUGUCUUUUUCUCACAUUACUUGUACCAACUAUAUUGUUUAUCUAAUCAAAACAAGUUAUUAUUGACCGAAGAUGGCUAAAAUCCACUAAGCUAUGAUUGAUCGCCGAUUCCGGUCAAAAUUAACUAUAUUUGACCAAACGUGGACUACAAAAAUGUAGGGCAAAACCGACCGCCUAAAACCAACUGGCGCGAAAAACGUGUCGGGUUAAAACAGAUCGGCCGAAGUCCGUCGGUUUUGAUAAUAACUACGUCGUUUUGCUUUGCUGGCUAGACUCCGACUUAUUUUAACCGACCACUUUCAUCGCGGUCGGUUUUAUAGCUGACGUGUCUGGGUCAUAACUGACCAGGCCAUCGGUCGGUUAUGUUUUUGUGUAAAUUUAAUCAAAUUUUUAAAAAAUUAUUAGACAAGACGACAGCGUUUUUGUGCGUAAAUUUGACCGGAAAUUGCGGUCAAAUUUACCCAUUUUUCUAGUAGUGUCAAUUUAAUUGUUUUUUAUUUUAAAUAAUAUGAAACAUCAAAUAAUAAUAUUUUAAUUAACAUAUCCACUUUUAAAUUUAUAAUGAACAUAACUUUAGAGACUUUGGCGUAAAUGAGCUAAGAACCCCCUAACAAAGUAACAUGCUCAACAAUUUCAACAGUCUAUCAAUGAAUGGAGCAUAGUGAAGAAGGUGCUUUAAAGUAUCAACACAAAAAUUGGUCUCCAUCCGAAAUAGACAAUUUAUCAAAUAAAAAGGUGCAUCAGAUGAUUUUAAGGAAGAUAACAAGAAAUCAAUAUACCUUCCAUACUCUAUCUGAAAAAGAGCAAAUAAUUAGUGCAAAGUUUGUAAAAAAGUUUGGACCUAGUGAACAAAUUUGUGGAUUUAUUGAAGAAAAUGAUUAACAUUUUUAUGUCUAUCAUGCCGCUAGAACAAAAUAUGAUGAUACAUGGCUCAAUAAUAAUGGGUGAACAACACACUUGACAAAAACUUAAAGUCUAUAUUAUAAUGUGGAUUUUACAAUAAAUAUAUCAAUCAAUUAAUAUACCAACGCAUAGUGAUGACAGAACCUUGUCGAAUAUAAAGAAAGAUUAUCAUUGAUAUUUCACAACUUUCCCUUACAUAUAAUUAUAAUUAUAUGUAAAGGAAAGUUGUUAAAACUCUCAAGGAGGGCCUGUUUUAUAAUUUAGUGAGCCCUUAAAGAGUAGGAGUAGACGUGGAUCAUAUGACAUAAAAAAUUUAAAAGCUAAAUAAAUAUUAUCAUAAUUAACUAAUAUAAAGUAUUAUGUAGUAUUGAAUUUAUAUUUAGGAUAUAAUUAUGAGCUAGCUAAUUAUAAUCAUGUUUAAUUUUAUUUAAAACUUUUUAAAUUUGUAUAAAAUGAUCAUAUAUUUAGACACAUAUGUGUUAUCAUUUUAACUAAAAUAUAUAUACUAUGAUAUUUAAUUUAAAAUUAAUAUAUUUGGGCUCCCAAAUUAGAUCUUUUACGGUUAAGCAACUGAUCAUAAUAAAAUUGGUUUUUUAAUAUAUCCAUGAUUAGGCCCAGCCCAAUUCUAAAAACCCUACAAAUUUUACUAUAUAUACUACUUAUCCUAAUUAUUCAAUUUGCCCCCUACCUCAUCAUUUCAGUUUUUGCCGCCUAUCUCAUCUUUUUAAUAUCUGCCGCCUACCUCAUCAUAUUAAAACCCCCAAAAGAUACUCACACAUUGUGAGAAAAUCAGCUAACAAUUAACGAGUGUUAAUUCUAGUGGUACCAUUAGACUGAGAGGUACUUCAUAGUUCAUUGUGAGAAAGGCAGUUGUCAGUCUUCAUCAGUAUACAGUGAUGUCUCUCAUUGGACUAUGGUGAGUGCCAUUCCAGUCCCGGCUGCAGUUAAAGUAUCUAGCCAUGCUGACAUCGAUUAUGUCCCGUUCAGGAGACCAGAGUCUUACAUCACGUGCAAAGAUGAUGACCUAACUAGAGUGUUGGGGAGGGGAGGUGCAAUUUAUGAAAUGGAUUGUGAGGAUGAGGAAUGGUUGAACAAAUUUAAUACAGAAAAAGGAAGUGAGGAGCCCAUUUCUGCUGAUUUUUUUGAGAUGAUUAUUAGUUCAUUUGAGAAGAGAUUAUUCUGUGAUCAAGGUAAUCGUCUGGAUGUAAAGACUGCUGUUGACCAUUGUAUAUCUCUGGGAAGAAGAGAUGUUCUACGCAUAGUUACCCGGUUCGCGGGUCGACCUAGGGAACCGUGAACUGGUACGGUCGUUCCGGAACGCGGGUCGAAGUCGACCCGGAACACUCGGGAUGGCGUUCCAGUUCGCCAUUUCCGGCGAACUCUGAUCACUUACCGGCGACUAUAAAACGAGGAUGAAAUUAAGAAGAAAGAGGCGAGUAGUGGUGUUUUAUCUGACCUGUGAUAUGUAUGUAUGUGGAUAUAUGUAUACAUGACUGUUUGCAGCUCAAGGUGAUGUGUGGUUUGUGGAGAAGAUGAAGCGGGGGAGAAAACGAAGUGGGGGAGAAGACAACACAGAUACCAAUGUGAUAACUCAUGAAAGUUAUGGUAGAUCGUGCUGGAUAAUAAUAAUAUAUGUAUAAGUUUUGUGUGUGUCUAUUUAAUGUGUAACCCCUGCAUUCAUUUCUAGACCCACCUAAUGCAUUUGCUGCUUGGACAAGAGCCCACUAUGGAAAGUUUCAGCACUCUCUCCGUUAUUUUUUGACGCUUUGUUUUUUUUUUAAUUUUAUAAAUAAAAAUAUGUGCUGAAAAUUUAAUUUAUAAAAAAAUGAUAAAUAAAUAUAAUAAUUUUUACCAUCCAAUCAACCCGUUUAAAGACGAAAAGGGAUAAAAAAUUAUUUUAUUAUGCACCUCGUUUCACAUAAGAAACAAUUCUUAUUAUUUUUUUAUUUAUUACUCUAGACUACGCCUUUUAAUAUGAAUUUUGCCAAAAUAAGAUUUUUAUAUUUUUUUAAUAUAAAAAUUACGGGAUCCUUAAUUCGACCCGCGAACCCGAUUCACGGCUCCUCGUACCCGAUUCAUCCAUACUCACGUCCCGCGUACCCGAAUUCAUACCGCGUACCGAAUCGAUCCACGAUCCAUGUAACUAUGGUUCUACGAGCCAUCCGUAGUUACUGGAUUAAAAAGCGAAAACAGAAGCGUUCCGCCCUGGUCAAGAUUUUCCAGGUACUAUCUUUUUGUGACCCAUAAUUAAUAGGUGUUAUUAAUUCAUCAGGUUUUACAGUAUUUGACAUAUGCACUAAUUAUUCAUGAUUAUGAUUUAUCAUUUCUGAUAGUUGUAUCAAUCAAGAACUCGAGUUUUAAGAAAGGCGGAUCAUGGCAAGAAAAGAUCAUUGACUCGAAAAGCUAGAGAAGAUGUAAUUAGGGAGAAGCGAGCAACUGUCCUUCAAGGUAUAUACUGUUGCAUCAAGAAUGUCAUCCUUAUCUUGUUUAAUACACCAUUUCACUAGUCAUUCUAGUUCAAGAGUACCUAAGGUUGGAAGUGUACAUUCCUCUAAGUAGCCACUUAAGUUUCUAAAUAAAUUCCUGGCUUGAACUACAGGCAUUGCAGCUGAACAUAAGAAAAACGAAAAAAAGGUUUCCCUAGAGGCUUGGAAAGCGUAAAAGAGCCCAACUGCUGAUGGAGGUUGCAGAUAAGUGUACUUACAAAGCCACUAUGGCUCUUAGAGUUUUUGAAGCAAUUGGACAGGGAAAAUCACUCGUAGAUAUUGCCCAACUGCUGAUGGAGGUUGCAGAUAAGUGUACUUACAAAGCCACUAUGGCUCUUAGAGUUUUUGAAGCAAUUGGACAGGGAAAAUCACUCGUAGAUAUUGCCAAAAAUCUUAUCGGCUGACCUAGCUAACUGCAGUUUAGUUGCUUUAUUUCUGCCCAGGACAAACAGUUUCUCUCCCAUUUAUUUUGGGAAGAUUGAAGCCUCUUUUUUGAAAUCUUGCAUAUCCCUUGUUGCAAUACAUGCAAGAAUUUGUAAUAUUCUCAAUAAUUUUUUAAUCUACCGCAUCUCUUGAUUAAUUAUAAAUUAUUUCACUGUAAAUAUACGUAAAUAAUUUUUUUUAAGAAAAUAUAAGUAAUUAUAUUUUAAUAUAGUUUAUAAUUAUGGUUUUGACAGGAACAAAAACAUUUAAAUGAAUAUAUAUAUAUAUAUAUAUAUAUAUAUAUAUAUAAUGAUAUUUAAUUUAAAAUUAAUAUAUAUGGGUUCCCAAAGUAGAUCUUUUAUUUUUAAGCAGACUGAUCAUAAUGAAAUUGAUCUUUUAAUUUAUCCAUAAUUAGGCCCAGCCCAAUCCUUAAAACCCUAAAAAUUUUACUAUAUAUACAAAUCAUCCUAAUUAUUUAAUUUGCCGCCUACCUCAUCAUUUCAACGUUUGCCGCCUAUCUAAUCAUUUCAAUAUUUGCCGCCUACCUCAUCAUUUUAAAAACCCCAAAAAAAUACUCACACACUGUGAGAAAAACAGCCAACAAUUAACGAGUGUCAAUCCUAGUGGCAGUAAGAAAACGACAAUUAGACUGAGAGGUACCUCAUUCUUCAUCGUGAGAAAGGCAGUUGUUGGUCUUGAGUAUACAGAGAUGUCUCUCACCAGACUUCCAAUGUUUGGGGCGAAAUCUCACCAGGAAAUUCCUGUGUUGACUUCCAUUCCUGUUCCUCCUGCAGUAGAAGUAUCUAGCCAUGCUGACAUCGAUUAUGCCCCGUUCAGGAGACCAGAGUCUUACAUCAUGUGAAAAGAUGAUGAACUGACUAGAGUGCUGGGGAGGGAAAGUGCAAUUUAUGAAAUGGAUUGUGAGGAUGAAGAAUGGUUAAACAAAUUUAAUACCGAAAAGGGAUGUGAUGAGCCCAUCUCUGCUGAUGUUUUUGAGAUGAUAAUUAGUUCAUUCGAGAAGAGAUUAUUCUGUGAUCAAGGUAAUCGUCUGGAUUUUAAGGCUGCUGUUGACCAUUGUAUAUCUCUCGGAAGAAGAGAUGUUCUACGAGCCAUCCAUAGUUACUGGAUUAAAAAGCGAAAACAGAAGCGUUCCGCCCUGGUCAAGGUUUUCCAGGUAAUAUCUUUUUGUGACCUAUAAAUAUGUUUUUUUUGACAUGGUUAUUCAUGAUUAUUAAUUUUAUGAUUCUUCAUGAUGGAUCAUUUCUGAUAGGUCUAUCAAUCAAGAACUCGAGUUUUAAGAAAGGCAGAUCAUGGCAAGAAAAGAUCAUUGACUCGAAAAGAUAGAGAAAAUGAAAUUAGGGACAUGCGAGCAACUGUCCUUCAAGGUAUAUACUGUUGCCCCAGGAAUGUCAUCCUUAUCUUGUUUAAUAAAUCAUUUCAGUCAUUCUUAUUCAAGAGUACCAGGAAGAUGAAUAUGUACUAUUAUAUAAGUAUACAUUCCUCUAAGCAGUCCCUUUAUAAGUUUUUAAAUGAAUUUCUGGUUUGAACUACAGGCAUUGCAGCUGAACAGAAGAAAAACGAAAAAAAGGUUGCCCUAGAGGCUGAUGCUGCACUUACUAAAUUAGAUGAUUUAGUCCUUGGAAAGCGUAAAAAAGCCCAACUGCUGAUGGAGGUUGCAGAUAAGUGUACUUACAAAGCAACUAUGGCUCUUAGAAUUUCUGAAGCAAUUGGGCAAGGAAAAUCACUUGUAGAUGUUGCCAAAAAUCUUCUCGGAUGACCUAGCUAACUGCAGUUUAGUUGCUUUAUUUCUGCCCAGGACAAACAGUUUCUCUCCCAUAUAUUUUGGGAAGAUUGAAGCCUCUUUUUUGAAGUCUUCCAUAUCUCUUGUUGCAAUAUAUGCAAGAAUUUGUAAUAUAUACAAUAAUUUUUUAAUCUACUACAUCUCUUGAUUAUAAUUUAUUAUUUAUUUCACUGUAGAUAUAGGUAAAUAAAAUUUUUUAACAGGAACAAAAAUAUUUAAAUGAAUAAUUUUAACAUUCUCUCUUUAAAUGGACUAUAUGAUUUGUUUACUUAUAUUUAGUGAUAUAUAGUUAUUAUUUCUUACUAGUUUAUUUUUGUAGUUGACACUUAAGUGACUGUUUUAUAAAAUGACAUUAUACAUGGUUCAUACCAAUAUUAACAAUUAAGUAAUUAAUAUUAUAAUGAUAUCACGUCUUAAUUUGAUUGGUUUUAAAUGAAACUUCUAACCAUUUUUAAAUUUUCGAUUUAUUAUGUCAAAUUACAUAUAUUAUAUUCAACGAUUUUUUUAAAAAAUUUGUAGAAAAUUUAUUUUCAGGCACCAUAGAAAUUUAAAAAGUUAAUGAGACAAAAAUUGGAAAGAGAGUAUUCUCGAUUAUGCACAUAGAACACUAUAUUAAAAUUUUAGUUAUUGAAUAAUUUAGAAAAAUAUUUAAUUGAAAUCAAUUUUUUAAUUAAAUUUUCUAAAUUUAAUUUUAAUAUUUGAUAAGCAUAAAAUUUCAUUGGUUAUACUGUAUGAGUCAACAUUUAACUUCAUGCUCAAGAUACGUAUUUAAAGUUCAUUCUUAAGUAAAAUAGUAUCAAAAAUAUAAUAUAAAUACUCAAAUACACUAUAUAUAUCCUAAUAAAACUACUUAUCAUCACCCUAUUAAAAUAAAUAUGAACUCAAUUGAGAUGUUAAUAUAUUCAAAAAUAUCUGUAAAAGAAUAAUCUCGGACCAACAAUUUUUCUUAAAUUAUCGAGGAUUAGUAUACACUAUGUUUUGUUGGAUUCACACAACUAAUUUUAAAUGAUAAAUAUAAUAAUUUAUCAAAUUAUUAAUUUUUAAUAUUUCGAUGUUUUACAAAAUAUUUGAUAAUAAAUAAAUGAUAUCAACAAUUUUUAUUUGGAAAUUAUUCUUUUAAUAUAUUAAAGGAUAUAUCCAUCAAACCAUAGAAAAUAAGGAAACACCCAAUAUUAUUUAAAAAUAAAAAAAUAAAAUAAAAUAUAUUUAAUCUUUACUAGUCAUGUAUAUUAAUUUAUGAUUCGUGAGAUUAUUGAGAAUAUCUCACGAUACUAAUAAUCUUAAGACAUAUAGAAUAAUCCGGAACAUACUAGAACUUUAAUUUCAAUUCAAAAUUAUGAGAACAUUCCGGAACUUGCAAGAACUUUGUUUGUAUAUUAAUCCAACGGCUGAGAUGAGAAUAUGAAAAUUAUAUAUGCAAGCUUUCUUCUUCAAAUUGUUCGUUGUCCCAACCACAAAUAAUUGAAUACCAUAAUAAACCCAAUUCUCAUCUGAGAACCCAUCCACAAACUCUCAUUAGCAAUAUCAUAUACGAUUUUCAAUGAUUCAAACUUUUUCUAUUUGUAAAUUUUACUUUCACCAAAUCCUAGCACUAAUUCUUAUCAUUUAGGUGUGGAUCAGGUAUGCAUUUGUGAAUUUAUUUAUGUUUUAUCUUUCAAUUAAAGAUUAAAAAUUAUAGUAACAAUCAAGCCCACAAGUAUAUGUUAUAGUUUUCAUUUUAAUUUUUUAAUUAUUUUUUGGUUGUAAGAACUUGUUGGUAAAAUUAUAAACUAGAUUUUAUAUUUUUUUUAUGUUUAACUAAUGUGAUCUUUUUGCAAGGCAGGUGUUUGUUCCCUUACUCCUUAAACAAUGAAGAUUAUGCUCCAAGUAUGGUGAUGCCUUAUUUUUAAUCCUUUUAUAAAUUUUAUCGGUCUUCUUAGUAUCAUGACUUGUCUGCAGUGUUUAUGUUUACUUUUAACUUGUGCAUAAGUUAAAUUCUUUCAUUUUUUAUUAUUGGGAUGGUAGGUUAUGGCCUUUGAAGUUUAUAAGUGCAAUUCAAUGGAGUUUGAUGAGCCAAUUAAAUUCUGAAAACACCCAUCAACCUCAACUAUAAAUGAGGCCUCCCUACAUCUCUUAAGGGAUAUAGGAGGGCAUUCUCUCAUAUUUGGGAAGAGCAGUGGACUCCGAAAGAAAGGUUCAUACAAGCUGACGAAAAUAAUUGCAAGCUUCUUUGUCUAAUAUGUGAUCAAUAAUUUCAACCUUAGUAGAAAUUUUUAUAAAGACACGUUGUAAGAGUUUCAAACAUUAUAAAUAUGUAUUUUACUUGAUGUAAGAGUUUCAAGUUUAUAUACGCAUUUUACCCACAUAAUUCUACUCGUGAUGAGAGAAAACUUACAUAUAUUUAUGUUCAUGGCUUCUAUGCUGUCAAAGUGAAUGGAGAGGGCAUUUUUCAAGAAAAAUCAAAACAGGUUAACAAGUAAAACUCUAAAUAAAAUAUAUAGAGGAAAAUAUAAGGUCAAUGAAUUCAAGGUAAAAUGAAUGAGGAUUAUUACAUUUGUAUGUCUCUCCUAUACUUAAAUUAUAGUGCAAAAAUAUUUGUAAAUAUAAUUAUAAUAAAUUUAUAUUGUCUAUUUUAAUUUAUUCCCAAAAUCACACUUUAUCCUUCUAAUUAUAAUUCAUCAUUAUUAGAAUGUCAAUAAUAUUUUUAGAAUCACAUAAAGAAUUAUGAAAAAUUCAAGUAAAAUUCUUACAAAUUAUAAAACGUAGACAGAAGCCGAUUUUCUUUUUAUCUUUCAUUCAAAGUUCAAGCUUUAAAAUCAAAUUAAAUUUGUAGUAAAUAUUAAAAAUAUAUCUAAAAGAGGGUGCAUCCAAAUGACUCCUUCAAAUGUAUCCAAUUCAUAUUUUGGAUGUCUUUUUCACAUUACUUGUACCAACAAUAUUGUUUAUCUAAUCAAAACAAGUUAUUUUUGACCAGAUGGCUAAAAUCCACCUUAUGACUGACGGCCGAUUUCAACUAAAUUUGACCAAAUGCAGUCAAAUUUAACUAAAUUUGAUCGGAAAUGGCGGUAAAAUUUACCAGUUUAAUUUUUUUUUAUUUUAAAUAAUAUAAAACAUCAAAUGAUAAUAUUUUAAUUAACAUAUCCAUUUUUAAAUUUAUAAUGAACAUAACUUUGGAGACUUUGGCCUAAAUGAGCCAAGAACCCCCUACCAAAGUAACAUGCUCAUCAACAAUUUCAACAGUCUAUUGAUGAAUGGAGCAUAGUGAAGAAGGUGCUUUAAAGUAUCAACACAAGAAUUGGUCUCCAUCCGAAAUAGACAAUUUAUCAAAGAAAAAGGUGCACCAAAUAAAUUUAAGGAAGAUAACAAGAAAUCAAUAUACCUUCCAUACUCUAUCUGAAAAAGAGCAAAUAAUUAGUGCAAAGUUUGUAAAAAAGUUUGGACCUAGUGAACAAAUUUGUGGAUUUAUUGAAGAAAAUGAUUAACAUUUUUAUGUCUAUCAUGCCCCUAGAACAAAAUAUGAUGAUACAUGGCUCAAUAAUAAUGGGUGAACAACACACAUGACAAAAACUUAAAGUCUAUAUUAUAAUGUGGAUUUUACAAUAAAUAUAUCAAUCAAUUAAUAUACCAACGCAUAGUGAUGACAGAACCUUGUCGAAUAUAAAGACGAAUAUAAAGAAAGAGUAUCAUUGAUAUUUCACAACUUUCCCUUCCAUAUAAUUAUAAUUAUAUGUAAAGGAAAGUUGCUAAAACUCUCAGGCAGGGCCCGUUUUAUAAUUUAGUGAGCCCUUAAAGAGUAGGAGUAGACGUGGAUCAUAUGACAUAAAAAAUUUAAAAGCUAAAUAAAUAUUAUCAUAAUUAACUAAUAUAAAGUAUUAUGUAGUAUUGAAUUUAUAUUUAGGAUAUAAUUAUGAGCUAGCUAAUUAUAAUCAUGUUUAAUUUUAUUUAAAACUUUUUAAAUUUGUAUAAAAUGAUCAUAUAUUUAGACACAUAUGUGUUAUCAUUUUAACUAAAAUAUAUAUACUAUGAUAUUUAAUUUAAAAUUAAUAUAUUUGGGCUCCCAAAUUAGAUCUUUUACGGUUAAGCAACUGAUCAUAAUAAAAUUGGUUUUUUAAUUUAUCCAUGAUUAGGCCCAGCCCAAUUCUAAAAACCCUACAAAUUUUACUAUAUAUACUACUUAUCCUAAUUAUUCAAUUUGCCGCCUACCUCAUCAUUUCAGUUUUUGCCGCCUAUCUCAUCUUUUUAAUAUCUGCCGCCUACCUCAUCAUAUUAAAACCCCCAAAAGAUACUCACACAUUGUGAGAAAAUCAGCUAACAAUUAACGAGUGUUAAUUCUAGUGGUACCAUUAGACUGAGAGGUACUUCAUAGUUCAUUGUGAGAAAGGCAGUUGUCUGUCUUCAUCAGUAUACAGUGAUGUCUCUCAUUGGACUAUGGUGAGUGCCAUUCCAGUCCCGGCUGCAGUUAAAGUAUCUAGCCAUGCUGACAUCGAUUAUGUCCCGUUCAGGAGACCAGAGUCUUACAUCACGUGCAAAGAUGAUGACCUAACUAGAGUGUUGGGGAGGGGAGGUGCAAUUUAUGAAAUGGAUUGUGAGGAUGAGGAAUGGUUGAACAAAUUUAAUACAGAAAAAGGAAGUGAGGAGCCCAUUUCUGCUGAUUUUUUUGAGAUGAUUAUUAGUUCAUUUGAGAAGAGAUUAUUCUGUGAUCAAGGUAAUCGUCUGGAUGUAAAGACUGCUGUUGACCAUUGUAUAUCUCUGGGAAGAAGAGAUGUUCUACGCAUAGUUACCCGGUUCGCGGGUCGACCUAGGGAACCGUGAACUGGUACGGUCGUUCCGGAACGCGGGUCGAAGUCGACCCGGAACACUCGGGAUGGCGUUCCAGUUCGCCAUUUCCGGCGAACUCUGAUCACUUACCGGCGACUAUAAAACGAGGAUGAAAUUAAGAAGAAAGAGGCGAGUAGUGGUGUUUUACCUGACCUGUGAUAUGUAUUUAUGUGGAUAUAUGUAUACAUGACUGUUUGCAGCUCAAGGUGAUGUGUGGUUUGUGGAGAAGAUGAAGCGGGGGAGAAAACGAAGUGGGGGAGAAGACAACACAGAUACCAAUGUGAUAACUCAUGAAAGUUAUGGUAGAUCGUGCUGGAUAAUAAUAAUAUAUGUAUAAGUUUUGUGUGUGUCUAUUUAAUGUGUAACCCCUGCAUUCAUUUCUAGACCCACCUAAUGCAUUUGCUGCUUGGACAAGAGCCCACUAUGGAAAGUUUCAGCACUCUCUCCGUUAUUUUUUGACGCUUUGUUUUUUUUUUAAUUUUAUAAAUAAAAAUAUGUGCUGAAAAUUUAAUUUUAAAAAACUGAUAAAUAAAUAUAAUAAUUUUUACCAUCCAGUCAACCCGUUUAAAGACCAAAAGGGAUAAAAAAAUUAUUUUAUUAUGCACCUCGUUUCACAUAAGAAACAAUUCUUAUUAUUUUUUAUUUAUUACUCUAAACUACACCUUUUAAUAUGAAUUUUGCCAAAAUAAGAUUUUUAUAUUUUUUUAAUAUAAAAAUUACGGGAUCCUUAAUUCGACCCGCGAACCCGAUUCACGGCUCCUCGUACCCGAUUCAUCCAUACUCACAUCCCGCGUACCCGAAUUCAUACCACGUACCGAAUCGAUCCACGAUCCAUGUAACUAUG